UUACUUACAAUUAGUCGAUCC
ensembl:piRNA 21ur-8212 ncRNA